rnacentral:tRNA from 1 species
GGUAAAAUGGCUGAGGUUAGGCGGUAAAUUGUAAAUUUACAGACGAAGGGUUUUCUUUUAUCA